rnacentral:rRNA from 1 species
GACGAACGCUGGCGGCGUGCUUAACACAUGCAAGUCGAACGGAAAGGCCCUGCUUUUGUGGGGUGCUCGAGUGGCGAACGGGUGAGUAACACGUGAGUAACCUGCCCUUGACUUUGGGAUAACUUCAGGAAACUGGGGCUAAUACCGGAUAGGAGCUCCUGCUGCAUGGUGGGGGUUGGAAAGUUUCGGCGGUUGGGGAUGGACUCGCGGCUUAUCAGCUUGUUGGUGGGGUAGUGGCUUACCAAGGCUUUGACGGGUAGCCGGCCUGAGAGGGUGACCGGCCACAAUGGGACUGAGAUACGGCCCAGACUCCUACGGGAGGCAACAGUGGGGAAUAUUGCACAAUGGGCGGAAGCCUGAUGCAGCAACGCCGCGUGCGGGAUGACGGCCUUCGGGUUGUAAACCGCUUUCGCCUGUGACGAAGCGUGAGUGACGGUAAUGGGUAAAGAAGAACCGGCUAACUACGUG